GGGGGGGGGCAAGCGUUAUUCGGGAAUUACUGGGCGUAAAGGGCGCGUAGGCGGCCAGGUAUGUCAAAGGUGAAAUCCCUCGGGCUCAACCGAGGAACGGCCUUUGAAACUGCAUGGCUUGAGGCUGGAGGGGAUAGCGGAAUUCUCGGUGUAGCGGUGAAAUGCGUAGAUAUCGAGAGGAACACCUGUGGCGAAGGCGGCUAUCUGGACCAGUUCUGACGCUGAGGCGCGAAAGCGUGGGGAGCAAACAGGAUUAGAUACCCUGGUAGUCUACGCUGUAAACGAUGGGUACUCGGUGAUGCGGGUGUCGACUCCUGCAUUGCCUUAGACAAACGCGUUAACGUACCCCGCCGUGGGGAGUACGGUCGCAAGGCUAG
rnacentral:rRNA from 1 species